CCGCAGGUUCGGGUCUCACGUAGUGAGACAACGGAGCCGCUUGCGGCGACGGCCCGAAGGGCGAGCAAAGCGAGUCAUCCUGCACGACCCACCA
rnacentral:sRNA from 4 species